ACUGGUGAGUAACACGUGGAUAACGUACCCCGAUGCCCGGGACAGCCUGUAGAAAUAGAGGGUGAUACCGGAUAGAUCACUGUAUACGGAAGGUAGACAGCGGGAAAGGAGCUUCGGCUCCGCGCCGGGAACGGUCUGCGGCCCAUCAGCUGGACGGCGGGGUAAAGGCCCGCCGUGGCGAGGACGGGUAUCCGGCCUGAGAGGGCGGACGGACACAUUGGGACUGAGAUACGGCCCAGACUCCUACGGGAGGCAGCAGGUAAGAAUAUUCCGCAAUGGGGGGAACCCUGACGGAGCGACGCCGCGUGAACGAAGAAGGCCGGAAGGUUGUAAAGUUCUUUUCUGUCCGAGGAAUAAGUGUAGGAGGAAAUGCCUGCAUGGUGACGGUAGGGCAGGAAUAAGCACCGGCUAAUUACGUGCCAGCAGCCGCGGUAACACGUAAGGUGCGAGCGUUGUUCGGAAUUAUUGGGCGUAAAGGGCAUGCAGGCGGGUCGCCAAGCUUGGUAAGAAAUACCGGGGCUCAACUCCGGAGCUAUAUUGAGAACUGGCGAGCUGGAGUUGCCGAAGGGUAUCCGGAAUUCCGCGUGAAGGGGUGAAAUCUGUAGAUAUGCGGAAGAACACCGAUGGCGAAGGCAGGAUACCGGCGGACGACUGACGCUGAGGUGCGAAGGUGCGGGGAGCAAACAGGAUUAGAUACCCUGGUAGUCCGCACAGUCAAC
rnacentral:rRNA from 1 species